GACAGCAGUGGGUGUAGUCUACCUUGAUUUCAGAAAGGCAUUUGACACUGUCUCCCACAACAUCCUUAUAAGGAAGCUGAAGAAGUGUGGAAUAGAUGAGUGGACGGCAAGAGCUAUCCUGUAUCUAUCACAUGGAUGUUUUGUGGAUCUGACUAGGAAAAAAAAACAACACAGUGAAAACAGAAAGAUAAACUAACCACAACCAACGCUAAAGACAAGAAACUUCUAAUUGCAAGAGGGAAAGAAUGUAAUCAGCAAUCUGUUUUUAAGAAGUUUUAAUGACCAGCAGGUGGGAAGGAUGAUUCCCUUAUUCAGUGAAUCUCCAUGCAAUAUAUGUUUAAGACAAGCUUUUGCUGGAUACCUAGUGCAUUUCCUAAACACAGACAUCCCUGACUGCUUCUUAAAGUA